rnacentral:rRNA from 1 species
CCCUUAGAUGUCCUGGGCCGCACGCGCGCUACACUGAUGCAUGCAACGAGUUUAUAACCUUGGCCUGAAAGGUCUGGGUAAUCUUUUGAACGUGCAUCGUGAUAGGGAUAGAUUAUUGCAAUUGUUAAUCUUGAACGAGGAAUUCCUAGUAAACGCGAGUCAUCAGCUCGCAUUGAUUACGUCCCUGCCCUCUGUACACACCGCCCGUCGCACCUACCGAUUGAAUGGUUCGGUGAAGAUCUCGGACUUCGAUAUUUAUUCUUUAUUGAGUUUAUAUUGUGGGAAGUUAUCUAAACCUCAUCAUUUAGAGGAAGGUGAAGUCGUAACA